rnacentral:lncRNA from 1 species
ACGAUGACUUAUAUUGGAUUAAUGGAACUCGAGACUUUGGUCAAGCCUUUUUUGGAGGAAAUAAGAACAUCAACCAAGAAAUAAUACUGUGGCAUAGACGGUUGGGGCACCCAUCUUUUUUUGUAUUAAAGAAAUUAUAUCCUAGUUUGUUUUCUAGAACUGAGUUUGAAUUUUUGUCUUGUGAUGCUUGUGAAUAUGCCAAGCAUACUAGAAACACUUAUCCUUUAAGUGACACUAAAAGUACUAUCCCUUUUUCGACUAUUCACUCUGAUGUAUGGGGUCCACUCAAACAGUUUCCUUGUCUGGUAGUCGAUGGUUUGUUACUUUUAUUGAUUGUUGCGCUAUGAUGACUUGGGUAUACUUGUCAAAGGCAAAAAAUGAAGUCUUCUCCUGUUUUCAGUCGUUUCAUAAGAUGAUUUGUACCCAAUUUGAGGUUUAGAUAAAAAUCUUGCGAACCGACAAUGGCACAGAAUAUACAGGUAAAGAUUUUGGUGCGUAUUUGUAGUCUUUUGGGAUAAUGCAUCAAACUAGCUGCCCUUAUACAUUUGCACAAAAUGGGGUUGCUGAAAGGAAAAAUAGACAUUUGCUAGAAGUAGCGAGAUCUCUAAUGUUUACUAUGAAUUUACCAAAACCUUGCUGGGGAUGUCAUUCUAGUAGCUGCCUACCUUAUCAAUAGAAUGCCCCUUAAAAACCUCAAUAUUAAAAGUCUUUUGGAAGCUUUGAAGAGUAAGAAUGAUUAUAUUGUUCCUCCAAAGGUGUUUGGCUGUGUUUGCUUUGUUCACACUAGAAAACCUCUUCGGGGGAAGAGCUCUAAGAAUGAAGAGAUGAUUCCCACUAUUGAAGCCACUAAGACAGGAAAAUGUGAAAUUGAAGAAAGAAUUCAGAGGGAGACUAUUGGGCGUUUGGAUAAACCUGAUUUGAUGACUUAUUCAAGAAAAAAGAAAGUUGAAGAAGUCAUCGUGCAAUCUACUGAAGCUCAUCCCUCUUUUGCGGUUGAAACCUCUUCUACUUGUGAGUUAUCUACAUUCCCUAGUGAGUUAGAUGUACCUAUUGCUCAUAGAAAAGGAGUCAGAUCUUGCACCAAAUAUCCUUUAUCUAACUUUGUCUCCUAUAAUUCAUUAUCUCCGUCCUAUAGAGAUUUUGCCUUGUCUGUUUCUUCUGUGUCUAUUCCCCAGAAUUGGAGGGAAGCUUUUGCAGAUUCUAAAUGGAAGCAAGCUAUGAUUGAAGAAAUGAAGGCCUUGCCAAAGAAUGAGACUUGGGAUCUUGUCACUUCACCACUAAAUAAGAAUUUGGUUGGCUGCAAAUGGGUCUUUACUGUGAAGCACAAAGCUGAUGGCUCGAUUGAAAGGUUCAAAGCAAGACUGGUGGCUAAGGGGUUCACUCAAACUUAUGGAGUUGAUUAUCA